AUUGAACGCUGGCGGCAGGCUUAACACAUGCAAGUCGAGCGAGCGGCGGACGGGUGCGUAAUGUCUGGGAAACUGCCUGAUGGAGGGGGCUAACUACUGGAAAAGGUAGCUAAUACCGCCUACAAUACUUUGUGCCCAGAGGGGAUUAGCUAGUAGGUGGGGUAAUGGCUCACCUAGGCGACGAUCCCUAGCUGGUCUGAGAGGAUGACCAGCCACACGGGAACUGAGACACGGUCCAGACUCCGACGGGAGGCAGCAGUGGGGAAUAGUGCACAAUGGGCGAAAGCCUGAUGCAGCCAUGCCGCGUGUGUGAAGAAGGCCUUCGGGUUGUAAAGCACUUUCAGCGAGGAGGCGUUACUCGCAGAAGAAGCACCGGCUAACUCCGUGCCAGCAGCCGCGGUAAUUC
rnacentral:rRNA from 1 species